UACGGGGGGGGCAAGCGUUGUUCGGAAUUACUGGGCGUAAAGGGUGCGUAGGCGGCUUUCUAAGUUGGAUGUGAAAACUCUGGGCUCAACCCAGAGCCUGCAUCCAAAACUGGAGAGCUUGGGUUCUGGAGGGGAAAGCGGAAUUCCUGGUGUAGCGGUGAAAUGCGCAGAUAUCAGGAAGAACACCCGUGGCGAAGGCGGCUCUCUGGGACGGUACUGACGCUGAGACGCGAAAGCGUGGGGAGCGAACAGG
rnacentral:rRNA from 1 species